rnacentral:lncRNA from 1 species
AAGCUAUAGACGACGAGAAGCUGUCAACCACCUUCAAAGUGAUUGAGGGAGACAUGAUGACCACGGAGUACAAGAGUUUCACGGCUAUCGUUCAGGCUACUCCCAAGGGAGAGGGCAGCUGCUUGUCUCACUGGACUUUUGAAUAUGAGAAGCUAAAUGAGAACGUUCCAGACCCUCAAACGCUGCUUGAGUUUUGGAUCCAUUGCCUCAAAGACAUUGAGGAUCAUCACCUUACCCAGCUACCAACAGCACAGGCAUGAAUGAUCGGUUAGUAUCAUAUGCGUGCAUGCUGCUGCUGCUGUCUUUAAUUUAAAACGUACGACCGCCGGCGUGAAUGAAUAAUAAGAAGCGGUGUGGUGGGGACAGGCCCUUGUUCUUCUAUAUUAAUGUAUGUUAGUAUGUUAAUCUAUCAAUAAACUUGUGUACGUGGGGUCUACUGAAACUCUCUCUGCGUUGCCGUGUGAUUUCAUGUAAAAAGGGCUUUGUGUGAAGUUAAUGCAUGCUUCGAUGUGUGAUUCAAGAUGUUGAAAGUCUCUCCUCCUAUCAUUUUUUAUUCUUUUCAAAAUCAAGAUCGAUUGACAGACGAAAUCAAAUCCACAAGGCCAACCGACUUUUUAGCGUAUAAAAUUAAAAAAAAUCAAUCUAUAUAAACCAGCUAAGAACCUCCUUUGCUUGUGCCCUCAUGAAACCUUACUCUGCCGUUUCAAUCAGUUGUUUAGAAGUGGAAUAGUAGUUUUUAAAGUGAUUUUUAAUUUGAAAAUAUAUUAAAAUAAUAUUUUAUUAUUUUUUAAAAUAUUAUUUUUUAUAUUAGUAUAUUAGAACGUUUAAAAAUAUUAAAAAAUAAUUUAAAAUAAAAAAUAAAUAUUUUAAAAAAUACUUUUAAAACAUAAUAAAAAUCUCUCGAUAUAUAAAUACAAUUCAAAUCUGAAAAGUCCAAAUCUUACAAUCACUCCCACCGACUGCGAGUCCCAAAUACAAAUCCCUCGACCAUUAAAUUAUUGUGAAAGUGGAUGGAUGUGACUUUCACGUGUGAUUGCUUGCAUCUUCUCUUUAUUUUUGUAAUCUAUUUGCUUUAUUUUCUACUCUCUGUUUUUUUUUAAUUCCGUGAUCGGAACAUGAGAAUCCCGUACGAAAUUGGAUGGAUCUUAAUUUGAUUUCAUGAUGGAUUAAAUCGAAUUAAACAAUGUUUUAAGAUAAUUGAUGAAAACUUUCUUUUUAUCCAGGAAUUAAUGAUGUGGGGACAAAUAGUUUGUAAAAUUGAACCCAAAGUCUAAAUAUAUUAUUUAUUUCUCAAUUAUACAUUUCGUGGAUAAUAAAGAAGCAGUGCUCGAUGUGCGGUAGCUAUGAUCUGUACUAAUGGUAAGAAAAUGCCAUUCUAUCUUUGCUUGAACAUCCCCAAUUAUCUUACGUAUCCGAUACCCUAUUAAUUAAUUAAAUGUUCUUAAAUUUAUAAUCGAGAUAAAACACAAACAGCACCACCUUUACAGCAAUCGGUUUGAAUAAAUCCAAGGGCUAAGGUCACGCUACAUACACUUUUGAAAAAAAAUAAUACUUUAAAAAUAAUAAUAAUAAAUAUUUUUUUAAACAAAAAAUACUUUAAAAAAUAACUAUUUACACUCCUAAACAUCUCACAAUGUAAUGUAUAACUUUUAGUAGGAUAAUUAUAAAAAUACAUCAUACUGUAGAAAUAUGUAAUAAUGUUUUUCAUGAUAUAGACUUGCAAAGAAAAUAAUAGGCAAAUGCCUCGUAGACUGGAUAAAUCCAGGUUCUACGAUCUUGAAACUGAACAUAAUCCAGAGAUAAAUUAUUAAUCACGGAUCGAUGUUGGAAUCAUCAUUUUUUUAAUUUAUAUCACAACCUGUACAUAUGAGCCUCAAAAGGUGGUGGACCGCCAUUCGAGUCGGCGAGGCAUCCGUCGCUUACCCAACAGUCUCCGCACGAGUCCACUUCCCAGCCUUCAAGUCGUCCCUCCUGUGCACAUGAGCCUCAAAUAGGUGGUGGAUCGUCAUUUUUUUUUUAUAUCACAACCUGUACAUGUGAGCCUCAAAUAUUUGUGAUGAUUUUGAUUCUUGAGUACAGGGCUUACCAGAAUCCAGGAAAUAACCGGUUCCUUGCUCAUCAACGACACCACUUCGGUCUACAUCAGUGCCAAAAACAAUUAAAAACCUCAACAAUAAGUAAAAUAUAUUUAUUAAUUAUAAUUUAUGAAAUAAAAAUUACUUCCACUUAACAAAAGAAUUCAAAUAUAAAUUGAAGAUUACUCAGGACUCUACUUAUCAGAAUUAUAUAAAAAAUAAUAAAAUUAUUUCUUAAAUAUUUUAAAAAAUCAUUAUUUAUAAUCUUGCUUAAGGUAUUUAUUUACCUUAAGCCGACUCUGAUUCAAGUUGCAAUGGACAUAAAAGGAGUGAAUGAAAUGAUAGUCAAGUGUGUGUUCAGUUUGGGGAAGGAGGGUGGGUGGUGGGCUAUGAAAGUUUGAGUAUAUGGUUAUAAUAUCAGAGUUUUAAUUUUUAGGCUUGCUCAAAGUAAAGGAAUAUCUUUCAUUUUAAUAUAUUUUAAAUUUUAGUUUUUUUUUCAUUAAAAAGAAAAUAAAUUACUAGGACUUUUGUUAUGUUAUGUUGUACAGAAGUUGAGUGAUGGCUUUUUUUUUUUUUUUUGCUAUUUGAGAUUGAAUUGAAUUGUUUUUAUUAAAACAUGAUUGUUUUUGCAUUUUAAAAAUAUUUUUGAAAAUAUAUUUAUUUAUUUUUUAUUUUAAAUUAAUAUUUUUUGAUAUUUUUAUAUUAUUUUAAUGUACUAAUAUAAAAAAUAAAUUUUAAAAAAUAAAAAAUAUAUAUUUUAAAAAACAAUCUGUACUUAAUAAUCUACAUCUGAGACUUUUGUUAUUUUGUUCAAAAGUUCAUACGUGUGUGUCUAUAUACAUACGUGAUAUAUAUAUACGCGCGCGCGCGCGCGUAGCAAUAUUAUCUGAUACAUGAAAAGUUUGAUAUCAUCACCAGUGCACGAUUUUUUAUGCCCUUACAUCUCUCUCUCGCCAGAUACGGAGAUUAUUAUUAGUUAUUUAAAAGAUCAUUUAUUUUGUGGACAAGCUUAUCCCCUCUUACUUAAAUGCCAAACCUGCCCAAGUUGUCGUCAGUAAUUGAAUACUUUUUCUAGGGUAGAAAUCCUUGAUUUAAUAAAUUCAAAUACCUUGUCAUCGGUAAUUUAGUGUUGGGCUACAUUCUUGUCAGGACAAGCACAUUGCAGUGGAUUUUUACUUCGACGGAGAUCAUGUUACCAAGAAGUAUUUGCAAGUGGAGUGCAUAUCUUUUGUGAUGGAUGGUAGAUAUGAUGUUUAAGAAAAAAUGGCGACGUGGACGAUGAAUACCCACGUCUUUAAAAGGAUAAAAUCCCAAAGCAUUUUCCCGACAACUGCUAUAAUUAGUGACAAAUUGAUGUCAUAUUCUAACGAACAGUGGGUAUUAAAAGAGCUUGUUCAACAAUCACAAGACAUAUCUAAGCAAUUAGGUGGACUUGGUUGGCAAAGAUACAAGGAAAUAUUCAAAUAUAUUAAAAAUUCUAAUUACUUAGUUAUUAUUAUAAAUUGAAUAAGAUAGCAAUAUUUUGAUGGAUUCAUUAAUUUUUUUUUAUUAAAAUAGUUUAGUUCUUAUUGGCCGAGCUACCUUGAAUAAACCAAAAAACUUUAUUUUAUUUUAUUCAGAUCCAAUUACUAUGUAAUUCGAUCUUUUUUCCAUUCAAUGAAAGUUUCCAGCUCCACGCUUUAAUUCUCGGGUUUGUUAUAUCUUUCUGACAAGAAUUAGACUGCAGACAUUUCAGUUAACAUGCCCUUAAAAUCUUAUUGGAUUGAGGAGCGAAUUUUAUUAUAACAAAAUGGCCACAUUUCAAAAAUAGUAAGAAUCAUCUAUGUAUUUAUGCAUAAAUGAUACAAAAAAUAUAAAAAAAGGGAGGCGGGGGAGAGAAACCCGCAAGAAAACCAACUAGAUAGAAUUAAAUAUAGAAAACCCUAAAUAAUGUAGGUCAAUAAUUGAUCUCUUCAUUUACUAGUCUAGGUGUAUAGUUAUCCCACGUCUUUAUAAGGACAAGAUCCCAAAGCAUUUUCCGUACAACUGCUAUAAUUGAUUUUGUUUUCUCAAAGCUUACACUGUUUAUAGUUUGAUUACCUACGCAGCAAAAUGACACUCUUCGGUAAGAUGGAGGCUGAAGUAGAGAUCAAGGUUUCUGCUGAAACAUUUCAUGAUAUCUUCAGCUGCAGACCACACCACAUUUCCAAUAUGAGCCCUGCCAAGAUACAGAACGUUGAUCUCCAUGAAGGUGAAUGGGGGAAGCCGGGCACUGUAAUCUGCUGGAGUUAUGUACAUGGUAAGGCUGUGACGUCAUAGAUCAUCCCUGACCGAAAACAUAUUAUGGAUUGCACUGCUCCUUAAUCAUAUAUAUAUAUAUAUAUGAUUACUAACCAUAAGUUUACAUCAUAAUUAGUCUACAAUUUUGUUUAUUUCUUAGAUGGCUUAUAGCAUGAGGAAGUGACUUGGGUUAUUUUUGUAUACGCUCGAUUUGAUCAUUAAUUCUAGAUCAGCUAUGAUCAAUCCAUUGCUGUAGAAAUUUUAUGACUUUCUGGUUGAUGAAAGGUUAACCUCAUAUACAUUUUCAGAAACAAAUUAUUAUAAAGAGUAGCAUGACAUGUCAAGGCAGUGAUUCAUGAGUACUGACAUUUAAUUUAUUUUUUAUGUAAAAAACAUUAAUAGAUGGGGUCGCGAAGACUGCGAAGGAGGUUAUUGAAGCUAUAGACGAUGAGAAGCUGUCAACCACCUUCAAAGUGAUUGAAGGAGAAAUCACCACGGAGUACAAGAACUUCAUAAUUAUCGUUCAAGCUACUCCCAAGGGAGAGGGCAGCUGCUUGGUUCACUGGACUUUUGAAUAUGAGAAGCUAAAUGAGAACGUUCCAGAUCCUCAAACGUUGCUUGAGUUUUGCAUCCAUUGCAGCAAAGAAAUUGAGGAUCAUCACCUUACCCAGCUACCAAUAGCACAGGCAUGAAUGAUCGGUUAGUAUCAUAUGCGUGCAUGCUGCUGCUGCUGUCUUUAAUUUAAAAUGACUCCUCUCAUGAAUGAAUAAUAAGAAGCUGUGUGGUGGAGACAGACGCCUGUUCUUCU